rnacentral:rRNA from 1 species
AAGACUGCCGGUGACAAUCCGGAGGGAGGUGGGGAAGACGUCAAGUCCGCCUGGCCCUUAUGUCGAGGGNUUCCAAAGUGCUUCCAAGGCCGGUACACAACGGUNGCCAACCGGCGAAGGGGGAGCUAAUAUGGAGAAAGGCGGUCUCAGUUCGGAUUGUAGGCUGCAAAUUCGCCCGCAUGAAGUUGGAAUCGCUAGUAAUCGCGGAUCAGCACGCCGCGGUGAAUAUGUUCCCGGGCUUGUACACACCGCCCGUCACAUCCAGGAAGNUGGUUGUACUUGAAAUNGGCCCGUUAACCGCAAGGAGAGCACCGGGCCAUAGGGUAGGGCAAGAGAGGGGGUGAAGGUNGAACAAGGUAAAGCAAGCGGGCAAGGCGGCCGGGAGCAUGGAACGGUNGGCCCAAAUCGCCCUAAUGGAGUUGGACAUAUC